rnacentral:rRNA from 1 species
ACCAGACUCCUACGGGAGGCAGCAGUGAGGAAUAUUGGUCAAUGGCCGAGAGGCUGAACCAGCCAAGUCGCGUGAGGGAAGACGGUCCUAUGGAUUGUAAACCUCUUUUGUCGGGGAGCAAAAGACGCCACGCGCGGCGUUCCGAGAGUACCCGAAGAAAAAGCAUCGGCUAACUCCGUGCCAGCAGCCGCGGUAAUACGGAGGAUGCGAGCGUUAUCCGGAUUUAUUGGGUUUAAAGGGUGCGCAGGCGGAGGUGCAAGUCAGUGGUCAAAUUGCGGGGCUCAACCCCGUACUGCCGUUGAAACUGCAUCCCUUGAGUGCGCGAGAAGUAUGCGGAAUGCGUGGUGUAGCGGUGAAAUGCAUAGAUAUCACGCAGAACUCCGAUUGCGAAGGCAGCAUACCGGCGCGCAACUGACGCUCAUGCACGAAAGUGUGGGUAUCGAACAGGAUUAGAUACCCUCGUA